rnacentral:lncRNA from 1 species
GUUGUCUUCUUAGUAGUCCCAUUAGAUGCAUUGGUUGAUUCUUUUUAUAGUUGUCCAAGGCCAUGUCAAUUGUCUCUGAGAGACAAUAACUAUUUCCAGUACUGUCCCUCGAUGUCUUUAUUAAAGGGCUCUAUUUUCUUUCUUUGUUUCAUUAUCGACUUGGUGAAUUUUGAGACUUUGAAUCCACCUUCUUUUGAACAAAAUUGAACAAAAAGAUACAAAAUCAAAUUUUACUAAAAAAAAAGAUGAAAAAUCAUAUUUAACCAGAUGUCCAAAAGGCCCUAGCUAGUCAUAUUUAUACUUUGUCCUACAACCUUCGACUUUCUAGAAUGUUCUUAGAUGAUAGACCUUACUUAAAUAAUGGCCU